rnacentral:rRNA from 1 species
AGAGUUUGAUUCUGGCUCAGGAUGAACGCUAGCUACAGGCUUAACACAUGCAAGUCGAGGGGUAGCAGGGUAGCAAUACCGCUGACGACCGGCGCACGGGUGAGUAACACGUAUCCAACCUUCCCAUAACUCAGGGAUAGCCUUUCGAAAGAAAGAUUAAUACCUGAUAGUACUUUUUCAAGGCAUCUUGAAAAAGUUAAAGAUUUAUUGGUUAUGGAUGGGGAUGCGUUCCAUUAGAUAGUUGGUGAGGUAACGGCUCACCAAGUCUACGAUGGAUAGGGGUUCUGAGAGGAACGGUCCCCCACAUUGGAACUGAGACACGGUCCAAACUCCUACGGGGAGGCAGCAGUGAGGAAUAUUGGUCAAUGGACGAGAGUCUGAACCAGCCAAGUAGCCGUGAAGGAUGACUCGCCCUAGUGGGUUAGUAAACUUUCUUUUAUAAGGGAAUAAAGUGAGGGACGUGUCCCUUUUUGUAUGUACCUUAUGAAUAAGGAUCGGCUAACUCCGUGCCAGCCGCUGC